AUCAGCUGUGGAAGACAGUGAAAACCCGCAUACAUAUGUCAGUAUGAAGUUAAAAUUAUCUCACAUUAUAUUACUUGAUUUAGUUGACUUGGUCUUGACACCCCUUAAACACACAGGGCAAUUCGAGCUCGGGCAAGAUCACCCACUGCCCCGCCAGCUGCUACCCGUAAUGUCUCCACACUGCCCUGGCCUGGUAUAUGCUGGGCCAGACUGCGAGAAGCCUUCCCUGCUGCUGCCUCACCAACUAUACAUAGGUCUGUGCGUUGCCCCCAAAAAAUCCCUUCAGGAAGCCUCGGUUCUGUGCCUCAGGGGUCUCAAUGGGUGUGAAAAGCUCCCCUAGCAUCUCCUGCAGCCAAUCAAUUGGGUCAGUCAGUAAGCUGUCAGUGAGCCAUACAUUUGCAGCUGAACCUGAGGAUCAUGACAUGUCCGUUGGCACAGAAGCAGGCCAGGCACACGCUGUUGGAGACAGCCACCACAUCAGCACGCAGCACGAAUGAUGACUCUGUGAUGUUGUGCACAUAGAGGCAGGCCUGUGAGGGCAUGAAGAAGACCUUGGCUUGGCGUUCAGAGCACACAACAGCCAGGUGGCCGUCGCCACUGGCUUCCUGCGAGGAACAGGAGGAAAAGUUGACCAGCUUUCUUCUGCGGGGCCGAUCAUGGUCCUCGGCACCAUGCGGAUCUUUCCACACCUCAUAUGCACUGUGGAUCAAAGCACCAGUGCAGUCCAGAAAACCAAAAUGCAGGACUGAACCUUUCAGCAUUAAGACUGUGCCUGAGGAAUAACAGAAUAAGAAAAGGAUAGGGAGAGAGGGAAGGGGAGGGAGAGGGGGAGACAGAGACAGACAGAGAGAGAUAUUUGUUACUGGAAACCAGAAAUUUGUUUACAUGGAAGUGUGGACAGCCAAUCAGAUUGUAACUUUCAAAAUCCUGAAGUUUGCAGCCAGAAAAGUGUACAAAAGAUAUGAGUUGCUCUGGGUGGAAUAGCUAAGGCCAAGACUAUAUGAAAAAUGUAUAUCCAUAAUUCUUGGCCCAUAGGAACUAUCCAAAGGGUUUUCCCAAAACAUCUCUCCAUAGGGUUUUCCCAAAAGAUCGAUACAUAGGGUUUUCCCAAAACCUCUCCCCAUAGGGUUUUCCAAAAAGAUCUAUCUAUAGGGGUUUCCCAAAAAUAUCUAUUCGUAGGGUUUUCCCAAAAUAUCUAUCCAUAGGGUGUUCCCAAAAGAUUUAUCCAUAUUGUUUUCCCAAAAUAUCUAUCCAUGGGGUGUUCCCAAAAGAUUUAUCCAUAUUGUUUUCCCAAAAUAUCUAUCCAUAAGGGUUUCCCAAAAGAUCUAUCCACAGGGUUUUGAAGUAAAAGAUUUAUGUAUAUUGUUUUGCUCAACGAUCUAUACACUGCUUAAAAUGAUUAUUAAUUAGUCUAUUACAUGGCUGCAUUUUAAUAGGUCCCUAAAUAAAUGGAAUCAUAGGCUUCCAUAUCAUUGGCAAAUGAAAUUUGUGCUCACUGGUGGGUGCAACGGUGACUGGUUCCUCUAGCCUCUCCUGCUCAUCGGUGGCAAUGGAUAAGGGCAUUAGCAGAACAAGGCCUAGGCUGGUGCCCACCCAUAGGCAUGGUGUAGGCAGUGCAUCUGACUUGCGUCCAUACGACUCCGCAAACUGCAGCGUGGUCACAGCCUCUUUGGUAUCCCGGUCUAUACUGGAUACGCUGGAACUCCGUGAUCGGCUGAAUGAAUUUUCCCGACUCUCUGAAAAAAAGGAGCAGGGAGUGAAGGAGAGAGGGAGAAAGGAAGGAAGACAGGAGAGAGAGAACAAAAUGGGAGGGAACACGGAAAGAAAGAGUGAGAAGAGAAAUGGAAAAGGUACGAGAGAGAGAGAGACAGAGAGAGAGAGAGCGAGAGAAAGAGAGAGAGAGUACACUUUAAAAACUGGGAAAGAAUAGAAGAGCUGUAAAAUAGAAAUAUCAAGUUAAUAUAACCUUUAUAUCUUAAAAUGAACUUUCCAAACUUUCAAAAAACACUUUAAUAAGUCAUCAUUUGUGUCACUGACAAAUACAUGACCACAAACAGGCAAACAGGACAAUACAACAGUGGAAACAAAA